rnacentral:rRNA from 1 species
AAAAGAACUUUGAAGAGAGAGUUCAACAGUACGUGAAACCGCCUAGAGGUAAACGGGUGGAUCCGCAAAGUCGGUCCGCGAAAUUCAGCUCGGAAGGCUGGUCGCAGGUGGUAGGUCGAGAUCUCUUGCGGACUCUCCUGCUGCUUGUACGCUGGCUUGACGUGUGCACUUUUUCGCGGGCAGAGCGCCACGACCGGUUUCUGGGCAGUCAGAAGGCGGCGAGGAAGGUAGGUGGGCGCUUCGGCGUUUACUGUUAUAGCCUCGCUUGUCCCGAUCUGCUCGGAGACCGAGGAGCCGCCGCUUGGCAAUGGGCUAUCCUGCUCUCCUUGGGGGUUCGACAGGCAGAGACUGGGAAACCGUGUCUGCCGACCGCCUCUUUGGACGGACGGGGGUGCUUUUCGAGUCCGCCAAGCAUAGGGUCGGUGGCGAAUCGGUCGGCACUCCACCCGACCCGUCUUGAAACACGGACCAAGGAGUCUAACAUGCGCGCGAGUCGUUGGGUAGUACGAAACCCGAAGGCACAGUGAAAGCGAGGGCCGUCCUUUGCGACGUGCUCAGGUGGGAUCCUGCGUUCUCAACCAGCGCAGGC